rnacentral:rRNA from 1 species
GCGGCCACUGCUAUCAAGUUCCGACUAAGCCAUGCGAGUCAAGGUAUCGUAAGAUGCCGGCAAACUGCUCAGUAACACGUGGAUAAUCUAACCUUGAGUAAGGGAUAACUUCGGGAAACUGAAGGUAAUACCUUAUAAUUGCUUAAAACUGGAAUGUUUUUGCAAUAAAAGUUACGACGCUCAAGGAUGAGUCUGCGACCUAUCAGGUAGUAGGUGGUGUAAUGGACCACCUAGCCUCAGACGGGUACGGGCCCUGGGAGGGGUAGCCCGGAGAUGGACUCUGAGACAUAAGUCCAGGCCCUACGGGGCGCAGCAGGCACGAACACUGUGCAAUGCGCGAAAGCGCGACACGGGGAGCUUGAGUGUCUUGGCAUAGCCAAGACUUUUCUCAUUCCUAAAAAGCAUGAGGAAUAAGUGCUGGGUAAGACGGGUGCCAGCCGCCGCGGUAACACCCGCAGCACGAGUAGUGGUCACUUUUAUUGAGCCUAAAGCGUUCGUAGCCGGUUUUGUAAAUCUUCAGAUAAAGCCUGAAGCUUAACUCCAGAAAGUCUGAAGAGACUGCAAGACUUGAGAUCGGGUGAGGUUAAACGUACUUUCAGGGUAGGGGUAAAAUCCUGUAAUCCCGGAAGGACGACCAGUGGCGAAAGCGUUUAACUAGAACGAAUCUGACGGUAAGGAACGAAGGCUAGGGUAGCAAACCGGAUUAGAUACCCGGGUAGUCCUAGCUGUAAACAUUGCCCAUUUGAUGUUGCUUUUCCGUUGAGGGAAGGCAGUGUCGGAGCGAAGGUGUUAAAUGGGCCGCUUGGGAAGUAUGGUCGCAAGACUGAAACUUAA